GACGAAAGCUGGCGGCGUGCCUAAUACAUGCAAGUAGAACGCACAGUUUAUACCGUAGCUUGCUACACCAUAAACUGUGAGUUGCGAACGGGUGAGUAACGCGUAGGUAACCUGCCUGGUAGCGGGGGAUAACUAUUGGAAACGAUAGCUAAUACCGCAUAAUAUUGAUUAUUGCAUGAUAAUUGAUUGAAAGAUGCUAUUGCAUCACUACCAGAUGGACCUGCGUUGUAUUAGCUAGUAGGUGAGGUAACGGCUCACCUAGGCGACGAUACAUAGCCGACCUGAGAGGGUGAUCGGCCACACUGGGACUGAGACACGGCCCAGACUCCUACGGGAGGCAGCAGUAGGGAAUCUUCGGCAAUGGACGAAAGUCUGACCGAGCAACGCCGCGUGAGUGAAGAAGGUUUUCGGAUCGUAAAGCUCUGUUGUAAGAGAAGAACGGGUGUGAGAGUGGAAAGUUCACACUGUGACGGUAUCUUACCAGAAAGGGACGGCUAACUACGUG
rnacentral:rRNA from 1 species